rnacentral:lncRNA from 1 species
GUUUCAGCGAUCCUCCCGCUCCAGCCUCCUAGCCCCUCCAGGGCUUGCAGGACCUGGCGGGCCACACUCUUGGAGCCUUAGCUGAAGUGGCUGGGCAUGACGCUGUUUCUCUGACGGCCCUUGUAGAUCUUGGUCAUAGAGCCAACCCCAGCACCACCCAAGAGGAAUUUAUUUUCUGCACCAUACUUCUCUCCUUCUGGCCAGAAGCAAUUUGUAAUCCUGGUUCUCUGACUUGACCCUGGGCAGCCUUC